rnacentral:rRNA from 1 species
GACAGAGGAGCCAAGCGUUGUCCGGAUUGACUGGGCGUAAAGCGCACGCAGGCGGCCUGGCGCGUGGGGUGUGAAAGGUAGCGGCUCAACUGCGGGGUCUGCAGUCGAUACGGGCAGGCUAGAGUUCGGUAGGGGAGACUGGAAUUCCCGGUGUAGCGGUGAAAUGCGUAGAUAUCAGGAGGAACACCGGUGGCGAAGGCGGCUACCUGGACAGAAACUGACGCUGAGGCGCGAAAGCUAGGGGAGCAAACAGG